GACCCACAAGAACAGAGUCGAGCAAGGAAACGUGCAACAGUGAUACAAAAGUCUGGCUUUGCUAAAGUCACACAUCCAGUAAGUGGCCGAAGCAGAUCUUCAGACCCACAGUUUGGCUGCCAAAGGACCACAGUGAGUAUUUCUAAUGCUGAAACAAGAGGGUGCAGCUCUGCAGCCCAGACGGCUGGGCCUCAGGGAACCCUCCCAGCCUCCAUGCCGCCUUUCCUGAUCACCCUCUUCCUCUUUCACUCUUGCUGCCUCCGAGCAAAUGGCCACCUCCGUGAAGGAAUGACAUUGCUGAAGACUGAGUUUGCACUUCACCUCUACCAGAGUGUGGCCGCGUGUAGAAAUGAGAC
rnacentral:lncRNA from 1 species